CGUAGGUGGCAAGCGUUGUCCGGAAUUAUUGGGCGUAAAGCGCGCGCAGGCGGUCCUUUAAGUCUGAUGUGAAAGCCCACGGCUCAACCGUGGAGGGUCAUUGGAAACUGGGGGACUUGAGUACAGAAGAGAAGAGUGGAAUUCCACGUGUAGCGGUGAAAUGCGUAGAGAUGUGGAGGAACACCAGUGGCGAAGGCGACCCUUUGGUCUGUAACUGACGCUGAGGCGCGAAAGCGUGGGGAGCAAACAGGAUUAGAUACCCUGGUAGUCCACGCCGUAAACGAUGAGUGCUAAGUGUUAGAGGGUUUCCGCCCUUUAGUGCUGCAGCAAACGCAUUAAGCACUCCGCCUGGGGAGUACGGCCGCAAGGCUG
rnacentral:rRNA from 1 species